rnacentral:rRNA from 1 species
CGUAGGAGACGAGCGUUAUCGGAUUACUGGGCGUAAAGCGUGUGCAGGCGGUUCGGCGAAGUUGGAUGUGAAAUCUCCCGGCUCAACUGGGAGGGGCGUUCAAUACUACCGAACUUGAGGUCAUCAGAGGAAGGUGGAAUUCCGGGUGUAGUGGUGAAAUGCGCAGAUAUCCGGAGGAACACCAGUGGCGAAGGCGGCCUUCUGGGAUGAUCCUGACGCUCAGACACGAAAGCUAGGGGAGCGAACAGGAUUAGAGACCCCGGUAGUCCUAGCUGUAAACGAUGUAGACUUGGCGUCGGAGGGUUCAAAACCUUCGGUGUCGUAGCUAACGCGAUAAGUCUACCGCCUGGGGACUGCGGCCGCAAGGUUA